AGGGGCAUAGCUCAGUGGUAGAGCUUUUGUUUUGCAUGCAGAAGGUCAAGAAUUCAGUUUUCGAUGCCUCCA